rnacentral:rRNA from 1 species
AACGUAGGUACCGAGCGUUAUCCGGAUUUACUGGGCGUAAAGCGCGUUCAGGCGGUUUGUCAAGUCGGGCAUGAAAUCUCUCGGCUCAACCGGGAGAGGUUGUCCGAUACUUCCAGACUUGAGGGCAGUAGAGGGUGGUGGAAUUCCGGGUGUAGUGGUGAAAUGCGUAGAUAUCCGGAGGAAUACCAGUGGCGAAGGCGGCCUUCUGGACGGAUACUGACGCUGAGGCGCGAAAGCCAGGGGAGCAAACGGG